rnacentral:rRNA from 1 species
UCUUGGUCAUUUAGAGGAAGUAAAAGUCGUAACAAGGUUUCCGUAGGUGAACCUGCGGAAGGAUCAUUAUUGAAGUAAACUUGAUGAGUUGUUGCUGGUUCUCUAGGGAGCAAGUGCACACUUGUCAGUUUUAUAUCUUCACCUGUGCACAUUUUGUAGACUUUGGAUAUCUCUCUGAUUGCUUUCUUUUAGCACUUAGGAUUAAGGAUUGACUUUUGUCUCUUCUUACAUUUCCAGGUCUAUGUUUCUUCAGAUACCCUAAUGUAUGUUUAAAGAAUGUAAUUAAUAGGCCUUUGUGCCUAUAAGUCUUUACAACUUUCAGCAACGGAUCUCUUGGCUCUCGCAUCGAUGAAGAACGCAGCGAAAUGCGAUAAGUAAUGUGAAUUGCAGAAUUCAGUGAAUCAUCGAAUCUUUGAACGCACCUUGCGCUCCUUGGUAUUCCGAGGAGCAUGCCUGUUUGAGUGUCAUUAAUAUAUCAACCUCUUUGGUUGGAUGUGGGUUUGCUGGUCUUUUGAGAUCAGCUUCCCUUAAAUGUAUUAGCAGACAAUGUUUUUGCGAAAUGCUCAUUGGUGUGAUAAUUAUCUACGCUAUUGACGUCAAGCAAGUUCUGCUUCUAACUGUCUAUUGAUUUGGACAAAUUUAUUAAUGUGACCUCAAAUCAGGUAGGACUACCCGCUGAACUUAAGCAUA